GCAGUCCUAUUGAAGUUGACGUGUGCAGACGACACAGCCGCUGAAAUGAAACGAGUGUCUGGGCGAUAAAUACCGCGGUGCACUACAUGCACUAAAUCCAAACCGGUGCUGCGGAGUCUGCAGACCUCGAGAGCGGAAGGCAGCACAGUCACCGGGGGAAAUGCAAGGCGCUCAAGAGGUUUUUUUGGCCUCCCGUCACGGUGGCUGUGCGGGGCGGAUCUGCCCCCCGGGUCCCCAGCGGCAGCGUUAUCAGUCCCUCGCAGACGAAACCCGGGGAGAGGGAGGCAGAAUGCUUGCGUUUCCCACUCUCAGUGGCAGCUCAAACGGGCUGGAGAAGGAUAGAGGAAGCAGGCACCUUCUACAGCUGCUCAACCAGCUGUGCUAAAUAUCAGAUGAAGCGCAGAACCUCCCAGCCCUCCACAGAGCCUCGUGGAACCCGGUUAAAGAGCGCUUGUGAAAUGGGACCCAAAGCAGGGGAAGAUGGGCGAUGGAUGAAAUAUCAUUCCUAAUGGAUGCGCUUGUGCACCCUGUGGAAGUUUGCGUACAUCACUUUUCCGCCUGGGACAGGCCUUCGGGUGUUUAUGUCUGUGUUUAUGAUGCCCAUGCUGCCUGAAGGACUGUUGUAAGCCCCUACUCUGUCUUCUGUUCUCUCUCCUUUAUUCCCUUUAUUUAUCGCUUCAUCUUUUGCGUUCACCGCUGCUGUUCCAUGCCAACCAAUCAUGCUAUAUGCCACAGCAAUUUUAUUAAUUAUUCAUUCAAUUAUUCAACCUCAUGAAUUAUUAUGAGGCCAUGAGUUAUCUUGCGGUUUGUGGUUUGCGUGAUGUAUUUUGAUAGUUGUCUUUCAGUUAUUUCUGGAUAAACAUAUCCACAAAUGAGUAGGUACUGAAUGGAAUGAAUAGGGUGACUGUUUUUUAUUUUUUAUGUGGCUUUCAGUGAUUAUAAAACAUGACACAUUGACAAUACUUUCCCUAUUUUUCCAUUUCAAGCAGUUUCUCUCCUCUCUUCUUGUGCUCUCACACAUAA